GGAUGCGAUCAUACUAGCACUAAAGCAUCGGAUCCCAUGAGAACUCCGAAGUUAAGCGUGCUUGGGCGAGAGUAGUACUAGGAUGGGUGACCUCCUGGGAAGUCCUCGUGUUGCAUUCC
rnacentral:rRNA from 1 species